AAAAACAAAACAACAAAAACCAAAGACAUGAACGGGGCACACAGUGCCCUAUGAAUAUAAGGAAUGUGGUAAAGCCUUCCUUUCUCCCAGAUGCCUUGAAAAACAUAAAAGAAUACAUAAUGGGAAGAAACCUCGUGAAUGUAGGAAUGUGGUAAAGCUUUCUGUUAUCCCAGUUUCCUUGGAAAACAUGAAAGAAGUCAUAGCGGGGAGAAACCUGUGAGUGUAAACUAUGUGGUGAGGCCUUCAGCAGUCACUAUGAUGUUCAAAAACAUGAAAGAACUCACACUGAAAUGAAACUCUGUGAAUGGAAACUCUAUGAAUGUGGGAAAGCCUUCACUUAUCCUUCAGGUGUUCAGUCACACGUGGUAAUCCACACUGGAGAUGGACCUUAUAAAGGGCAUCACAAACAUGAAAAAACUCACACUGGAGAGAAACCCCAUCAAUGUAAAAAUUGUAGUAAAGCCCCCACCACAGUUCAACUUUGAAGACCCAGCACAGUUUGGAUUUCCUGCAAGCCGUCAUGUGUCCACCAGGAAACAGAUUUAUACAGUCGUGGUUGAGAAUGUUCUCUGAAGCGCUGCUCCCCUCUUCUCUAGGUCAUAUUUAUAUAAGCUCUAAUUUGUAUAGUAAACACCUUGUUCUCUUAA